CACUGAUGCAGGGAAUUAAGAUAAACCUCCUGCUGAAGAUGAUCAUCAGGAGAAAGUGAUUCUGACAAAUCAGUGAAAUGCAUAAAGAAAGGACAAAGAGACAGGACAUGUCACAAAAGAUUUUUUUGCGCUACGUCACCUCUGUGGGUUUUAAGAGAUUGUAUUCAAGUGGAUAUUCUUAGACCACAUUCUUGAGGCGUUAUUAGUAUAAGAACCUGCCUAUGGGAGAAGUGGACCUACCAUGAAAGAAGAAAGCUGAAAUUCUGUCUGUUGGAGAACAUGGGGAGGAAA
ensembl:lncRNA novel transcript